UGAAGAAGCUGUUUGCUGAAAGAGUUUCAAGCAACAUACUAUAGUCAAUUCUAUACACAAAGUGGAAUACAAUACUGCAUCGGAUGCUGUAAAGGAGGCAGUGUGGUUGUAAAAAUUUAUUACCGAGCUGAGAGUUACACCUUCUAUUGAUGGUCCUAUCCUGCUGCAUUAUGCAGCUCUGGUGCCAUAGCUCAGAUGAAAGAACCAAAGUCAUACCAGCGCACC
rnacentral:lncRNA from 1 species